AUUGAACGCUAGCGGCAGGCCUAACACAUGCAAGUCGAGCGAGCGGCGGACAGUGGAGUAAGGUAUGGGGACUGCCCGUUAGCGAGGGAUCACUACUGGAAACGAUAGCUAAUACCGCAUAAUAUCCGCUACCCCAUCUGGGAUUAGCUGGUAGGUGAGGUAAUGGCUCACCUAGGCGACGAUCCAUAGCUGGUCUGAGAGGAUGAUCAGCCACACUGGGACUGAGACACGGCCCAGACUCCUACGGAGGCAGCAGUGGGGAAUAUUGGACAAUGGGCGAAAGCCUGAUGCAGCCAUGCCGCGUGUAUGAAGAAGGCUCUAGGGUUGUAAAGUACUGUCAGUCGGGAGGCGUUAUCGAAAGAAGAAGCACCGGCUAACUCCGUGCCAGCAGCCGCGGUAAUAC
rnacentral:rRNA from 1 species